GUCUUUAAAAUUAAAAAAUUUGGCGGUAUUUUAAUCUGUUCAGAGGAACCUGUUUUUUAAUUGAUAAUCCACGAUAAUUUUUACCUUUUUUAAAAAUUUAUAUAUCGUUGUUGUUAAAAAUUUUUUUAUAUAAUUUUUUCAGAUCAUGGUGUAGUUUAUAGAAAGGAUAAAAUGGGUUACAAUAAAAAUUUAAAUGAAAUUGGAUUUGGAGGUAAGCUCUAAAAUAUGCACAUAUCGCCCGUCGCUUUCAUUUUUAGGUGAAAUAAGUCGUAACAAAGUAGAUUUAUUGGAAAAUGAAUCUGGAAUGCAAAUUAGAGCUUGAUAAGCAUUUUAUUUACAUUAAAAGGUUAAUUGUGAAAUUCAAUUUAAUUUGAUUAGAUAAUUUUAUUUAUUUGUAGUUGUUUAUUGUUUUUAGAUAAGAAUUUAUUUUUUAUUAUUUUUAUGAAAAAAUUUUAUUAUAGUUUAUUGUACAGUGAUGGAAAAUUUUUUAAUUUUUAAAGAAUAAUUUUUUUUUUGUACCUUUUGUAUCAGGGUUUAUUAAGUUGUUUUUCCCGAAAUUUUAAGAGUUAAUUUUAAUGUGAAAUAAUUAUUUUUAAUAGAAUUUUUGAAAUGAAACGUUAUUCGUUUAUAAUUAUAUCUGGUUUUUUAAGAUUUAAUUUAAUUAUUUCAGGAUUUAUUAUAUUUUUAAGGGAUAAGCUUUAAAUUUUUAUAUAAUUUUUUAAAAUUUAAUAAUUAGUAGGAUUGGAAAUUUCUAUUUUUUGAAGAUUUUUAUAAUUUAUUUAUAUGUUUUAUUAAAAUAUUGAAUUUAAUUUAGGUUUUUAAGUAAUAAUGAUAAAAUUAGUAAGUUAAAUAAAAGGAAUUCGGCAAUUUAGUUUCCACCUGUUUAAUAAAAACAUGUCCUUUUGAGUUUUAUUUAAGGUCAGGCCUGCCCAGUGAUUAAAUGGCCGCAGUAUUUUGACUGUGCAAAGGUAGCAUAAUCAUUAGUUUUUUAAUUGAAAGCUUGUAUGAAUGGUUAAAUGAGAAAUUUUCUGUCUCUAGAAUUUUAAUUUUAGGUGAAAAUGCCUAAAUUUUUUAUAAAGACGAGAAGACCCUAUAGAGUUUGGUUGGUGUGACUUAAAAAUUUAUUUAACUUUUUUUA
rnacentral:rRNA from 1 species